GACAGAGGGUGCAAGCGUUGUUCGGAAUCAUUGGGCGUAAAGGGCGCGUAGGCGGCAACGUAAGUCGACUGUGAAAUCCCCGGGCUUAACUCGGGAAGUGCAUUCGAUACUGUGUUGCUUGAGUCCCAAAGAGGGCGAUGGAAUUCCCAGUGUAGAGGUGAAAUUCGUAGAUAUUGGGAAGAACACCGGUGGCGAAGGCGGCCAUCUGGCCUGCAAUUGACGCUGAGGCGCGAAAGCGUGGGGAGCAAACAGG
rnacentral:rRNA from 1 species